rnacentral:lncRNA from 1 species
AGGAGAAUGAACAUGGGGGAGACGCAGAGAAGCACACAGAGGCAUGACUGAUAAGGGCAGAGGAGGAAAGAAGGUCUCGGAGACCAGGGCAUGAAUGUGGUUGCACAGAGACGGGGAGAAGGAUGGGGAGAAAUGAGGAACAGGAAGAAGAUUCCGAGAGAAAUAAAGAGGCCGAGAGGAGCUGAGCCAGGCAGCCGGUGGAGCAGGCAGAUGGAACAACAGAGACAAAGAACAGAGCCACAGAGUGGGCACACAGCAAGGCCUGGCAGCCAAGCCCUGUGGGUUUGGUGGGAGCAGAUGCUUGUAUGGGAGCAGCAGCUGAUGGCCCCCAGCACGUGCAUCCUUGUUGACUCCAGGCCCAGCACAGCCUCCUCGGCAGCCGGCCUUAGCCUGGAGGAGCAACCCUGGUCCAGAGAGGCAGACGAAUGGCAGCCCUGCCCCGUGGGGGCUCCGGUUCUUCUCCUCCAUCCUCCUCCAGGCUCCGCCCACCUGCUCCGUCUGCCUCCCAGGGCCUCGUGAAUCCCAGGGAAGCCAUGAGCUGCCACAUCACGCCCGGAAGGAAGCGGGCUGCGUUGGAGGGGAAAAGACGCACCAGCAGCCUAGAAUUCGAGGCACUGCAGAGCCGGAAGGGGCCUCGGCGCUGCUCCCUCCGCCCCCUCAUUUCACAAACCGGAAACUGAGACCCAAAGCAAGGAAGGGACUUGGCCAAGGUCAGAGCUCACCUGGGACCACACGAAGAUGAUAACUUGCUAGGAGUUUUGCAAAUGGGUUUGUCUACAGUUUGGUAGAAUUAAAACAUUGUUUUUAGUUCAGAUUUGCAACAGUGGCCGGCUCCCUCUAAUCCACAGUGGUGGAGCACUGUGAUUGACAUUCAGCUGCAAAGCUCUUGCUGGGAAACGCGGUGGCCGAGCCGUCAGCACAGGCGGCAGCUGCCUCCCACACUUAAGACAGGACUUCUAAAGCCACAGUCCCUCAAACGGCAGGCAGGUUUGUGAAUGUUUCCGUGUUCUGAACAUUUUUCUGCAAAAGGGUUCACAGCUUUAAUUGAUUUACAAAGAGACGUACACCAUGGAAGAGAUUGAGAAUCAUUUCCUUAAAGCAACAAGAAUCUAGGCUGGGGAGAAAUCAGAUUUUAGGAACGAGCUGCUAGGCACCGUAGCAGCAUUCAGAGACAUGAAAGCAUUGGAUUGUUUCCUAGAUUUAAGAGCAUAUAUUUUGCAACAUGAAAGGGCUUCUAUGCUCUAGAAUGUAAGUUCCUCAAGGAUAGGGGUCUAGUCUAUCUCUUCACCUAAGGUAUCCUUAGAUCCUGGAUCAGUGCCUGCGCGUAAUCACAGGUGCGAACACACAUGUGAUUAAUUUGUUAGUCUGCACAGCACUUCCCUUUCCAUGCCCACUCCUGCCUGGUCUCCAGCAGUCGUCAGAAUUGCCAUCGUUAAGGAAACCCUGAUGCAAGAAUUGCAAGAAUGACUCUGUUUGUUUGUUUGUUUGUUUGUUUGUUUAUUAAGACGGAGUCUCGCUCUGUCGCCCAGGCUGGAAUGCAGUGGCGCGAUCUCGGCUCACUGCAAACUCCACCUACCGGGUUCACGCCAUUCUCCUGCCUCAGCCUCCCGAGUAGCUGGGACUACAGGCGCCCGCCUGCGCGCCCGGCUAAUUUUUUGUAUUUUUAGUAGAGACGGGGUUUCACCGUGUUAGCCAGGAUGGUCUCGAUCUCCUGACCUCGUGAUCUGCCCGCCUCGGCCUCCCAAAGUGCUGGGGUUACAGGCGUGAGCCACCGCGCCCGGCCAAGAAUGACUUUGUAAAUCAGUGUUGACAUUCAGGACCUUUUUCAUUUCGUGUUAAAGACUGAUCACCCUGGGAAAAUCAAGGCAGUCCAGCCAAACCCCAACUCCCAAUCAAAUGCAGUUUGUAUCGAACCCCACGACUGCCCAGCACCUUUGGGAAGCCCAUUGCUUUCUAUGCAGACGCAGAGCUCCCAGAAAGCACAGGUGGAUGUGCUCAGCUUGCCUUGUGACGUGAAUGCCUGAAAACAGAACAGGACUAAAAAUUCACUGUCUCAGAGCCUGCAGCUUGGGAGUCUGAGUUCUCAGGGACAAGAAGAGAAGAGUUCCCAGUGUGGCAAGGACCAGGCGGACCAGCCUUAGGCCGGGCUCUGGUUCCUCCCCUCUCUGUGGAUUCCCUUUGAUCCUCCCCUCCUGCCCCACUUUGCAGCCUCCACAGCUUAGCUGCUAAAUCACUGGGGAUUAAGACGCUAGGGGCCGGAGGGGAGGGCAACUCGUCCUGGGACAGAAAGGGCUCCUUUCCUGGGAGGGGUGAGAGGAAGCUGGGGUUCUCAGGGCCCCUGGCUGGGCCAGCCUUCCUGCCCUCCCCCACCAGCCUCACCCCCGUUAGCUGAACCUCCCGUGGACAGGCAAGCUCAGAGAGGCAGUUGUGCAGCUGCUGCUUCUGUCUGGGGCUAAAAAUAGUCUCCUCUCCGCCCAUGUCCAGCUCAGGCUGGGCCAGAGCUCCGAAGAGGACUCACAGGCAGUUGGGGGGACAGAAGGUGGGGCCAGAGACAAGUGCCCCCAUGGGCAAAGAGUAGGUGAGACGGGGCAGGGAAGGUAGGGCUGGGGCCUGCCUCUCAGCUCUGAUCCCCCAGAAACUCCCUUAGGAAGGAAAUAGAGUUUCUCAUCCCUGUGUUUCUGAGGGGAAAAGGAGACAGAGAAAGGUUGGGCAGGCUGACUUGGGUCACGUACCAAUACCUAACGUUUAUGAAGUGCUUGUCAGACACUGUUUUAAGCUCUGUAGAUGUCAAAGGACCCCAUGACGUAGGUAUUAUUAUUCCCUUUGACAGUUGAAGAGAUGAAGGCGCAGAGGCAUGAACUCCCGUAGCCAGAGAGUGUGAGCUGGACUCUACCUGGAGCAGCCUCGGUGCAGAGCCCAUGCCCCCAACCAUGUCCGUGGUCGAGGCCCAGCCCAGACAGGGCACAAAGGGGCUGAGGAAGAGGAAGUAAGAUGCCAGGGUUGCCAUGCAGGAGGGCAACCCCAAGUGAGAUGGGCAUCGUGGCCUAGGGCCCACCUUCCGGAAGAGCUCAUCAGAACUUCGGACACACUGCAUGGGCCUAGACCCAGGGCUCGUUGAGCUCCUCCCUCGGAUUGGCUUCGAAUUUUAGGUGAAUCCUCUCUAGCAGCCACAUUCACCCUUGCAAGCCUGCACUUUGUCAUCUUCUGAAAAGGUGCAGGAACAUGAUGCCCAGCUGACUCCCAGGGAGCGGGAGCCCCAGAGGCCAGCGGAGCACAGCCGCAGCAGGCAGAUCUGUUGGGAAACCACGGGAGUAUAGGAGCAGGGCUGGGGGCACCUGAGGGACUGUGGAGCCUGAAUUAUUGAAACGCUUAGAGUAAAGCAGAUUUAGAUUUCACAAAGACAGAGGUGAAGGUGGGUGAAGACGGAGGGAAGGAUUUAAAGGGAAAGAGAAAGAGGAAAGAUAAGAAUGAGGGAGAAAGAGGAAGAGAGAAAGAAAAAGAGAAAUAGAGUUAUCGAAGAUGACUGCAAGUCUGGCCUCUCUCAACCCAAGGAGCCAAGGAGGGGAAGGCCGGCCUGAGCAGCAACGUAGACAAGAGCUCAGGAGGGCAGGGACAGAGCCCUGGCUUCAGCAAGAGCGUGGGGAACAGAGGGCAAGGGGGUCCAUGCAGCCCAGGAUGGCAGGGUGCUCAUACACACAGCCUUGGUCCUGUCCCCUCUCCCAUUGCCGCUUUUGAGCUCACCUUGUUUAAGGCCAAAGCACACACCAUCCUCCCACAGAGCCACUAAUGCAAUUAACAAAACACAUUCAUAAAUCUUGCAUGGCGUCCGGAGCUGUCUCCUCUCCCUAAGCACAAAGGCCAGCUCCAGAGAUGCUGUGCAGAGAGCUGUCUGACCUCUCCAGCGUCAGGGCCCCCUGAAAAGUGCAGCAUAACCCUUAGUAGGACAGAAAGACCAUUGUCUUCUGCCAACCAUUACAAAGUGGAGUGGGGCUGGGGUUAGGAAACACAGACAAAUCAGAAGAGGCUGAGAAGGCGGAGAUGAAAGUGCAUAGGUGUUUGCAGGGAGCUGGGGAAUAGUUCGUGCCUUCCAAGCUCAACAAGAGAGCAUUCAGCAGAGACCAGAGAAUCACCACUUUUGGAGGGUGAUUUUACCUUGUGAGAACAGAGCACAGGGUGUGUGGGACCCAGGGCAUCUUCGGCAAUGCGGGCGUGACUUGGCGGGAUGUCGGUGUUUGUGUUUGCAUG